UACCUUUUGCAGGCGGAGUAGGUAUACUAGAGUCAAGAUCGAAUGCUGCCUCCCAAAGGAUCAACAGCCAGGCCAACCGCUCAAAUUACCAAACUCCUACUUCAGCAUUGUAUGAAGCUACAGAUGGUUCUGGAGUUGCUUCGGAUAGGAAUGGCGAGUCAGGUUCCACAGCAAGUGCAGAUCCUGUAGCAACUGAUGGAAUUUUACAUGAAAAAGGCUGCCCAGGAGGAGAGGAGGAGACAACCUAGACAAUCGAAAGACGAAAUGCCUCCACCUCCUUCUCUUCAAGGACCCGCCAAGAAAGGUCAUCACAUGGGCGACUUCAUUCCUCCAAAAGAGCUUGAAAGGUUUUUGGCUUCAUGUAAUGAUUGCCUCUGCCCAAAAGGGCCAUAAGCUCUUUGAUGAAUGACAAGUUUGUUUAUUAUAGCUGCA